AGCGCGGGCAGCAGCUGCAGCAGCAGCUCGUCCGUCAGCUCGGUGAAGCACAGCUCCACCGUGUCGAUGUGCUCCGAGCUGUGCUCCAGGAUCUGAGGACACCUCCUGAUGCUGAAAGAGUGAAUUCUCAGGGGAUAAAAGGAGCUCAAAUUAACCUCCAGCCAUGGGAUAUCCCUGAGAUCAAGGACUUUGUGGGAGGUCCCAAGUGGACCGGGCACUGCUGUGGCUGAGAACAUCCAAAGUCAUGAAAUUGCUGGAAUUUUCCCAACAAAAUCUACUCCAGUGGAAUAAGGAGCUGCAGCUGAUAGAACCAGGAUUUUGCAGGAGAGGCAAUUUGCACAAAUGCCCGGAAAAAAACAAUCAGCAAUUCAAAGGAAAACAUGUUGGGCUCCUUUCUUCUGAAAAUGACUCCCUGGAAGAGAAUUGGCCCGAAACAAGGAUUUGUGUUACAAUAAAUGAGAGUUUGCCAUAAAACAAACAGCAUUUUCUUCAGAUUCUAGCACAGG